GAUGAAGAACGUAGCGAAAUGCGAUACGUAAUGUGAAUUGCAGAAUUCAGUGAAUCAUCGAAUCUUUGAACGCACAUUGCGCCCUUUGGUAUUCCAAAGGGCAUGCCUGUUCGAGCGUCAUUUGUACCCUCAAGCUUUGCUUGGUGUUGGGCGUCUUGUCUCUAGCUUUGCUGGAGACUCGCCUUAAAGUAAUUGGCAGCCGGCCUACUGGUUUCGGAGCGCAGCACAAGUCGCACUCUCUAUCAGCGAAGGUCUAGCAUCCAUUAAGCCUUUUUUUCAACUUUUGACCUCGGAUCAGGUAGGGAUACCCGCUGAACUUAAGCAUAUCAAUAAGCGGAGGA
rnacentral:misc_RNA from 1 species